rnacentral:rRNA from 2 species
UACGGAGGGUGCAAGCGUUACUCGGAAUCACUGGGCGUAAAGAGCGUGUAGGCGGGUAGUUAAGUCAGAAGUGAAAUCCAAUAGCUCAACUAUUGAACUGCUUUUGAAACUGAUUACCUAGAAUAUGGGAGAGGUAGAUGGAAUUUCUGGUGUAGGGGUAAAAUCCGUAGAGAUCAGAAGGAAUACCGAUUGCGAAGGCGAUCUACUGGAACAUUAUUGACGCUGAGACGCGAAAGCGUGGGGAGCAAACAGG